rnacentral:tRNA from 1 species
AAAAUCCGUCGACUUUAUAAAUCGUGAGGGUACAAGUCCCUCUAUCCCCG